rnacentral:rRNA from 1 species
UACGGAGGGUGCGAGCGUUAUCCGGAAUUACUGGGUUUAAAGGGUGCGUAGGCGGCUUUGUAAGUCAGGAGUGAAAGUUUGCGGCUCGACCGUAAAAUUGCUUUUGAUACUGCGAGGCUAGAAUUAGGAUGAGGUCAGCGGAAUGUGGCAUGUAGCGGUGAAAUGCAUAGAUAUGCCAUAGAACACCAAUUGCGAAGGCAGCUGGCUAGACCUGGAUUGACGCUGAGGCACGAAAGCGUGGGGAGCGAACAGG